UGGGGAAUAUUGCACAAUGGGGGAAACCCUGAUGCAGCCAUGCCGCGUGUGUGAAGAAGGCCUUCGGGUUGUAAAGCACUUUCAGUGGGGAGGAAAGGGGUAAUGCUAAUACCAUUGCCCUGUGACGUUACCCACAGAAGAAGCACCGGCUAACUCCGUGCCAGCAGCCGCGGUAAUACGGAGGGUGCAAGCGUUAAUCGGAAUAACUGGGCGUAAAGCGCACGCAGGCGGUUUGCUAAGCUAGAUGUGAAAGCCCCGGGCUCAACCUGGGAACUGCAUUUAGAACUGGCGAACUAGAGUCUUGUAGAGGGGGGUAGAAUUCCAGGUGUAGCGGUGAAAUGCGUAGAGAUCUGGAGGAAUACCGGUGGCGAAGGCGGCCCCCUGGACAGAGACUGACGCUCAGGUGCGAAAGCGUGGGGAGCAAACA
rnacentral:rRNA from 2 species